rnacentral:misc_RNA from 1 species
UCUACCCUUGCUAGCUUUGUGAACCCACUAACUAGCUUGGCAAAACAAGGCGUAGCGUUGGCGCCUCGCCGAGCUCCCAUGCAAUAACGGCAUAGGACCCUCGUUCAUCUCACAAAUCACCUUGCUGGGAUAUUUAGGAUGAUCAGGAGAUGCCGGAGAGAUACAAUGUAUUGUAUACCUGGCAGGCUCGGACACCCAAGUUUGCUAGAGGAAGUUUGGUCCCAUCGCAGACGUGAGUUCUGGUGCCAAAUUCUACUUAUUUUUGCUUGAUUUUGAGAGAAUCUUCCUUGGCGAUGUAUAUUUCAGGUGCUGAUUGCCAAUAGAGAAGCAAAUAAAUCGGUCUCAAAAUUGAAUAAGAAACGGGGUUGGUGGACACCCUUGCUUUUCACAUCUGGUAUUACAUCUGCAAUAGCUUUCUUGAAGCAUGUUUUAAAUCAAAAUACCCUUGCACAAGCUCGCAGGAAUAUCUCUCAUCAUUAUGACAUGAGCAAUGAGAUUUUUGCUAUGUUCUUGGGUGAAACAAUGGCAUACUCCUGUGCAAUAUUUAAGACUGAAGAUGAAGACUUGAACACAGCACAACUGAGGAAAUAUUCCCUUCUGAUUGAAAAGGCACAAAUCAAUAAGGAGCAUGAAGUUCUUGAGAUCGGUUGUGGUUGGG